GCCACUGAUUUCGGAGCAAUGAUACUGACUUGUAAUCAGUAGGUCCCGAGUUCGACUCUUGGUGCCGGCACCA
rnacentral:tRNA from 1 species